UUAACUUAUUUGUUUUUUUGCUCAGAGAUACAGAGAUAAAAGAGUUUGAUGGACCUUCGGCGGUCACUCCCCGGUAGCUCCGAAGAACUGUAGGGUAGGCCCGCCGAGGCAACAGGUAUGUUCACAUGGGUUUUAGGGAGUUUUACAACUCUAUAAUGAUCCCUCCGCUGGUUCACCAACGGAGA
rnacentral:misc_RNA from 1 species